rnacentral:lncRNA from 1 species
GCAGCAGCUCUCAGGUAGAAAGAAGGAAGCUCUGAGUUUGCCAACAGAAAACAAGAACCUGUCAAGACUCAGAUAUGAAGGGCUCAGUGGCUCCUUGUCAGGUCAGGUCACCCAGAUCAGGGUCAUGGGGACAGUGGGAUGGCUCCUUUCUCUUGUGUGGUCCUCAAUGCCACCACUACAGCUUCCUGCGUCAUUUACUCUCGAAGAAAACGGCACAAACGAAACAGCCACCUCUGCUAUAGUCCAAGUAAGAAGAGUCAUCUCAUUCUUUUAUUCCAUACCAAGAAGUGAUCUUCUCUAUGCAGGGCAGGGCUUUCUCACAGCUGAGACCAUCCCUCUUCCCACAUCCUCACACUGAGACCUAACCCCAGGACUUCAGAAAUGGGGCUGUAUUUGUAGAUAUAACAUAAGGGAAGCAUGCUAAGACUCAGUAUGUUCUUAAGAGGGGAUGAAAUAUCCAUGCAGCAAGGAAUCUCCUUGAAACUCAGCCUGUAAAUGGAUUGAUCAAAUCUCCUCGAGUCCCUGAAACUGGCCGGACACUGGGCUCUUGGCUCUCCAAACUCAUAAACAGCAAACAUUGAGACAAGCAGGGUUGCCUGAAGAAGCAGGGACCCGGCAGGGCUGCCUGAAGAGGCCCCAGGCAACUAAGCUACCUGGGAGAGGUCCUCCCCAGCCUGUUGAACUCCCUCCAAGCUGUGCAGCUAGCACCAGAGUGAGCUUUCAUGAGCUGACAUCCAUGCUGGGGUGAGCUGUUGGUGUUCCAUCCAUCUUUGA